ensembl:snRNA U1 U1 spliceosomal RNA
AUACUUACCUGGCAGGGAGAUACCAUGACCACAGAGGUGGGUUUCCCAGGGCCAGGCUUGUCCAUUGCACUCCAGAUGUGCUGACCCCUGCAAUUCGCUGGGAAAUCACAGGGGUCAGCAUAAUAUGUGGCAGUGGGGGACUGAAUUCAUUCUUUCCUCUG